rnacentral:rRNA from 1 species
UACGUAGGUGGCGAGCGUUGUCCGGAUUUACUGGGCGUAAAGGGAGCGUAGGCGGACUUUUAAGUGAGAUGUGAAAUACCCGGGCUCAACUUGGGUGCUGCAUUUCAAACUGGAAGUCUAGAGUGCAGGAGAGGAGAAUGAAUUCCUAGUGUAGCGGUGAAAUGCGUAGAGAUUAGGAAGAACACCAGUGGCGAAGGCGAUUCUCUGGACUGUAACUGACGCUGAGGCUCGAAAGCGUGGGGAGCAAACAGGAUUAGAUA